ACGGAGCAACGCCGCGUGAAGCGAAGAAGGCCUUUCGGUUGUAAAAGUUCAUUCAUCGGGGAGAAGGGGAAGGGGAGUGGAAAGCUCCUUGCGAGACGGUACCGAGUGAGGAAGCCCCGGCUAACUACGUGCCAGCAGCCGCGGUAAUACGUAGGGGGCAAGCGUUGUCCGGAAUCACUGGGCGUAAAGGGUGCGUAGGCGGUUGGUAAGUCUGGAGUGAAAGUCCAAGGCUCAACCUUGGGAAUUCUUUGGAAACUGCAUGACUUGAGUGCUGGAGAGGCAAGGGGAAUUCCACGUGUAGCGGUGAAAUGCGUAGAUAUCGGAGGAAUACUCAGUGGCGAAGGCGCCUUCUGGACCACACUGACG
rnacentral:rRNA from 1 species